UGGAUCUGAAAAAAAGGAUAUGCACUCUUAACAAGUUCAACACCCAAGUACUAUUGCAAGUACCAGCUGUAUUUCAUGGAAAAAAAAAAAAGAAUAACUCAAAAGGCAGAACGAAGAGCCUAGAGGUCAGAGAUGAGAGGCAUGAAUAAUUAUUCACAGGUGUUGAAUAUAAUCAAAUGACUUGCAACAUUUACCACUGGGAUUUUAAAAUGUGGUGGACCAAUCAUUCUUUUAGUCUGUGCAUUUUCCCAUUUUUUUCAACAGGAAUGUCUAGAGACAUUAUUCCUGUUUUGCCACUGUAUUUUUGGUGAAUGUGUAGUAAGUAACUGGCCUCUUUAGUAUCACAAAGCUGGAUGAAGAAAAUGUGGUACAUAUACACCAUGAAAUACUAUGCCGCCACAAAAAGGAAAUGAGAUCAUGUCCUCUGCAGGGACAUGGAUGAAGCUGGAAGCCAUUAUCCUUAGCAAAGUAACGCAGGAACAGAAAACCAAACACCACAUGUUGUCUCUUAGAAGUGGGAGCUGAACGUAUAGACAAAAUGACCUACGAAUCAAGCAUUUUGUUCCACGGUCUCUACUGUUAGCUGUAUGUCUCAGAAACAGCUUCUUUCUCAAGAGAGAACAAGAGGGAUAAUGCUGGAUCUAAAGGCAUCAUCUGAAGAAGACAAAGAUAUCAACAAUCGCAACUAU
rnacentral:lncRNA from 10 species